rnacentral:rRNA from 1 species
CGGCGGACGGGUGAGUAACGCGUGGGUAACCUGCCUCAUACAGGGGGAUAACAGUUAGAAAUGACUGCUAAUACCGCAUAAGCACACAGAACCGCAUGGUUCGGGGUGAAAAGCCGAGACGGUAUGAGAUGGACCCGCGUCUGAUUAGCUAGUUGGAGGGGUAACGGCCCACCAAGGCGACGAUCAGUAGCCGACCUGAGAGGGUGACCGGCCACAUUGGGACUGAGACACGGCCCAAACUCCUACGGAAGGCAGCAG